AAGUUUGGGUGAAAAAAAUUGCUCCACCCAGUCCAGUUUAUAUGACUGACACCUAUGAGUAGCCAAACUAGUUAAAACUCGAUGAGGCUUUUAUCAGGGUUUAAGGUUCUUGUCUUGUAAUACUCCUACUCCUAUCUUCUCCUAAAUAGUACAAUGAACUUUCUACCAAUCUCAAACACUAGUUCAAUCCUCCACCCCCUUCAAACUUCUUCACCCAAAUUCAUCAUCUCAAUAUGGAGAAAAAGGACCCCUUCACCACACAAUUCCAACAUUUGCAACAAUCCCAUCUCACCAUUCUCCAACCCAUCAAGAUUCAAAAUUUCAGCUCAAUUUGGCCGAAGAACCAAACGCCGCAACUAUUUAAGGAAAAAACUCACGCAACAUCUACAACAACAACAACAGCAACAGGUAGUUCAAAAUCCCAUUCUUGACAACCCCACAAGUUCUGAAAGUUUACAAUUUGGCCCUGAAAAUGCUGAUGGUGAAAAAAGCAAGAAUCUUGUUUCUGAUACUGAAGAAUCAAAGGGUUUGGGGGAGUCUGUUUUAUGGAAUAAAUUGGAGAGUUGGGUUGAGCAGUAUAAGAAGGAUACAGAGUUUUGGGGUAUUGGUACUGCUCCUAUCUUUACUGUUUUUCAAGAUUCCGAAGGUAAAGUCGAAAGGGUAGUUGUAAAUGAGGAUGAAAUUUUGAAUAGAAGCAGAAUUGAUCCAACGUUGUAUCGGAAAGGUUUGAUUGAGGAGGAUGAGGAUGUUAAAGAAAAGAUUUCACUUGCUGUGGUUUUGGCUAGGGAAAUGGAAAGUGGUAAAGAUUUGCUUCCUAAGAAUAGCUCAGUGGCUAAAUUUGUAGGUUCCGGAGAGGAGUCCAAUAAUGCUGUCAGUAGGCUUAGCACGGUUACUCUUAAUCCAAAUGUGUAUAAAAAGUUGCCUAGAAUUGGAUUUGUGGUGUUUUGUGGUUUCUUUUUAGUUUGGACGGUGAAGAAAAUGUUUGUUGUUCGAAACGAUGGAGAAGAAGAGUACUCGAGGUUGGAGAAGGAAAUGCUUAGAAGGAAGAUGAAAGCUAGAAAGGAGAAGGAGAAGGCCGUGAAAGGUGAGGUGGAAGUUAUCCAUGGUAUGGAAGAGCCAGAUAAUAUGACUCUUGAAAGGCCUUGGCUCGAUAAGCAAGGAAUUAUGAGCAGCAUAAAGAAAGCAAGGGAAUUUGAUGGUAAAUUAGCAUUAUCAGAGCAGUUUCAGAAUCAGCACUUUGAGAAUGCCGAAUUCUAUGAUGAGAUUGCGGAAAUCAGAAAGAUGGCGAGGAAUGCACGAGAACAGGAAAAAGGAAAUUCUCUUCAAGCUGAUAAUGGAGGAGAAUCAGGAGAUUAUCCAGCCUCAACCGAACUCUCCAAUGAAAAGGUCGUUGCUGAACAGAAUUUGUUUGAGGAUAGUAAUGAGCAACAUGAUCUUAAUGUAUAUGUGGGGGAUAUUGGAGUUCUCCAUGGAUUUGUCGGGCCAACAGCUUACUCCGACGAUAAUGGAGUCCAUACAAAUGCAUCUUCACUGGUGAAUCAUGAAAUGCAGACCUCCAACGGAAAUUUGUUACCUUCGGAUGAUAUCAAAAACUGUAUGGAAAAUUCAAGUGAACCAAAGCAUGACGUGAUCUCAACUCAUGGAACUGAAAAACCUACUAUAACAUCUGAACAAUCAAGGAAGCCAAGUAAAUUCUCUGUGACAUCAAAAUCAAAGAUCAUUCUGUCAGUUCAGGAAGCUAGGGAAUACCUUUCGAAGAAAAAUGAGAAACUGAAAACAAAGCAAGAAAGGACCCCUGAAAGUGAUCCAGGGGUUGAAAAUGUAUCAAUUCCGCUAAUGGAAAAAGAGAGUAUUAAUGAUAUGAACCAGCUUUCUGAUAAUGUAGGAAAAGAAUUUGACCCAUUGCUUUCGGGAACAUCUGAUUUUAUUUAUGAAAAUUCUAGUUUCAAACAAAAAGAAUUUUUUCCAACCAGCAAAAGUGCUGUAGCUACACUGAACCAAAUGAAGAGCUAUCAAAGUCUUUGUUCAGAUGAUGAUGAAAACAACAGUUACGAAGAGCUUAAACCACUUGAUUUGUUGCCACCUGAACAUGAAGCAGCAGUUGGUGAAGUAUUUGCAGCCAAUGAAAUUCCUGAACGUAUUGAUAAAGUAUCACCACUGACUAAAAUACCUGAAACUCACUCUCAUCAAGCGGUUAAUGGCAGAACGACAGAACUGGAACCAUCACCAAAUAAUGGAAGCUGGUUGGAAAAGAAUUUCCAUGAAUUUGAACCAGUCAUUAAGAAGAUUCAGAUGGGGUUUAGAGAUAAUUACAGUGUGGCAAAGGAGAAAUCUUUUGAGGAGCUGAAUUUGAAAACUCAGAUGUUUCAUCCUGAGACUGAUGGGAAUGUCACCGAGCUUGAGUGGAUGAAAGAUGAAAGACUUUAUGAAAUUGUUUUUAAAGUUAGAGAAAAUGAGCUCGCUGGUAGAGAUCCAUUUUAUCAAAUGGAUGAUGAAGAUAAACUUGCCUUCUUCAGUGGCCUUGAGAAGAAAGUUGAUCAAGAGAAUAAACAACUACAGGAUUUGCACGAGUGGCUCCACUCGAACAUUGAAAACCUUGAUUAUGGAGCAGAUGGAAUCAGUUUGUAUGAUCCACCGGAGAAAAUUAUACCUCGCUGGAAAGGUCCACCACUGGAAGGAAGUUCAGAGUUUCUAAAUUACUUUGUAGAACAGCGAAAGGUAGUUGCAGAAAGCAUAAAAGAUUCAAAUCUCAUAAAGAAAGAAAGACAAGAGUUGCCACAAGGAUUGCAAAUAUCCCCAUCGAGCAAUAAAAAUAAUUCAACUUCAGCUAUCUCAACUCACAAUGCAAAGGCGAAAACGCCCAGGACCAUCAUUGAAAGCAGUGAUGGUUCCAUCAAAGCUGGCAAGAAAUCCGGUAGAGAGUACUGGCAACAUACAAAGAAAUGGUCCCAAGGGUUCUUGGAAUCCUACAAUGCAGAGACCGACCCGGAAACUAAAGCUCUAAUGAAGGAUGUGGGGAAGGACUUGGACAGAUGGAUUACGGAAAGAGAAAUAAAGGAAGCUGCUGAUCUGAUGGACAACUUACCUGAGAAGGGAAAGAAACUAAUCAAAGAGAAACUUGAUAAGGUGAAAAGAGAAAUGGAACUGUUUGGACCCCAGGCAGUAGUGAGCAAAUAUCGUGAAUAUGCAGAUGAAAAGGAAGAGGACUACCUAUGGUGGCUUGAUCUAUCCUGUGUAUUGUGUAUUGAAUUGUACACUGAGGAAGAAGGAGAGAUGAAGGUAGGAUUCUAUUCACUAGAGAUGGCCGCUGAUCUGGAAUUGGAUCCCAAGCAGUAUCACGUGAUUGCUUUUGAGGAUGCUGGUGACUGUAAAAACCUUUGCUAUAUAAUACAGGCUUAUAUGGAAAUGCUUGGCAAUGGGAAUGCUUUUGUUGUUGCACGACCUCCUAAGGAUGCUUAUCGGGACGCCAAAGCAAAUGGUUUUAAUGUGACAGUUAUCAAGAAAGGGCAGCUGCAGCUCAAUAUAGACCAGUCAUUGGAAGAGGUGGAGGAAGCUAUCACGGAUAUUGGGAGUAAGAUAUACCAUGACAAAAUCAUGCGUGAACGAUCUUUGGAUGUAUCUACAGUAAUGAAAGGUCUAUUUGAUACUGGAAAACCUAUGAAAAAGAGCAGGAGGUCACGUAGGAAGCUAAAAAAUCCCACUUCAAAGUAGCUGUCAUGUUGGUGUUUACAGUGAUCUUCCAGAGCUGUAAGUUUCAUUGAGAUAAGCUAGAGAAAAAAUUGAAUGAUUGAUUCAAAAAUUUAAGCCAUGAUGUUGUUGGCAGAGGAAGACUGGCGGAGGCAGCCCCUGUUAAUUGAUUCUUCAUAACUGAGGAAGUGUUGUGUACUUUGAGAAUACAAAGGAGACCUCUAUAUUGGACAAUUUACUUGUGUUACCGGAGGUUGAGAGCGGGUGCUUAGUCAAAUGAGAGAUUGUGAGAGCAUAGUUUCAGCUGCUGGAUAAUUCCUCAAACUUUGACAGGCAGGCAGGCUGUUGUAGGAACUACGUCGGCUAGUUCCUAUUAGGCAACAACAUUUUGUCGCGAACCUAGACUCAUUCUAACACCACAUACUGCAUGCGGCGGGGCUUCACAAUUAGCUCAGAUUUGAGAUGGUAUUGUUCUUUGAGAAACAGGUGAUCAUUCGUUUAGAGAAGCACCCUGUGAAUGAGAGUGGAAAGUUGAUUGAGAAAAAAAACAGCCGCGUUACUCUUAUCACUGAUUUCCAAGAAUCAUACGGUGAUUGAACUACUAGUGAAUCUUGUAUAUGUGCAAAUUGCGACUUAUAGAACUUUUGUGUGACUGGAAACUUCUUUUCUUUUUUAUAUUACAGGAAAUCCGUCUUCAUUAUUCUU